GUGUCUGAUUGAACCUCCCAGUCUGUUUGUGACACCAGUCAAAGUCCAGCGUCAACACAAACAUGUUGUUCUCUCGCUCAUUGUCGAAUCCGGUGGCGUCACAGAGCUCAGAGUAAACGACUCCAGGACAGAGCAGCUCUUUAACCUGGAAGGAGCCGAACAAACACCAUCACAUCUGACGGAGAGGAACCAGCGUCCAGAGCUUGUUGCAGCUGUCUGGACAGAGCGCUGCACUCAUGUGUCUUCUCCUCCAGCUGCUGCUGAACGCGUUGGACUCCAGCUUCUUGUGAGGUGAGAGCCUCAGACAUCUCUUUGUGUUCCUCCUUCGUGUCCUCCAGGCUCCUACAACACACAGAUCAACAGUCGCUCUUUUCUGCAACAUAUGGAUGGAUAAUUUAUCUCAGAAACAUAUGUGCACGUGUUUCAGAGAUAGUUUUAUAAGCGUUGGCACCUUUCCAUGUGGUGAAUUGUUUCUUUGAGGGCGUCGUUUUUCUCCUGAAGCCGCAGGUUCUCCUCCUGAAACAUCUCCAGCUGAGCGUGUUGUUGCUUCUUCUGUGGAGGAAAACAAAAAAACACUGAGUCAGCCAUGACAGAAAUCCACCUGGGGCCGAAGAUCACCAGGUAGAGCUUCUCCACAGCGGCAUGGGCUUGAUUUAAGACCCAAGCAUUUAGUACCUCUAAUAUCACUGUUUUCCUGGUGGCCUGAACUAUGUGAAGAUGUUUCCAGUGUCCUGCUGUGUACCUGGUGUCUGACCUCAGACAGGGCCGAGCUGUUCUCCAGCGUCCUCCGCUCGUGGGCGUCGACCUCCUGCUGGGCGUCUCGGAGCUGCUGCUCGGUCCGGCUCAGUCUGUCGGGCAGCGCCUCCAGCUCGCGGAGUCGGCCCAGCAGCUCCCUCCUCACCUGCUCCUUCUCCCUCUCCAGGCUCACCUUCACCGCCUGCAUGUCCUUCUGCAUCAUCUCCAGCUUCAGACAGUACUCCUCCGACUCCAGACGAGCCUGCUGGACCUGAACACAACACACCGGUAUCUCAACAUGGGAUCUGUCCAUGCAGAAACCUGGAUCUGGAUCAGCACUACUUUAAUAUGUGAUAUCAAUGAACUAAACCUCAUUUAGCAUUUAAUUUGCUGUGUGUAAAGUUUGUAAAGUGACGCAGCUUCACUGAAAGUCAGUCCGUACCUUCUUCUUGUAUUUCUCCACGAGGUCUUCAUACUUUUUGAUGGACGUCUUCAGCUGAUGAGCUUCAGACUGAAAUCCCCGCAGUUUCUCCUCGAAUGUUGUAAACUCAGCCUGAAAAUGACAUAAAUACCAGUUAAAUACAUUUUCCUCUAGAUGACGGAGAUUAUGAAACAUUGGAGGAAAAAGCCGUCAAAGCCGAGAUGAAAAAAAUCUAGAUUUUUGUGGCGGUACCUGGAGUCUCUGGUUCUCCAGCUUGGUGGAGGCGUUUUCAUCAAUGAGGUAACGAAGCUGUUCACGGGACUUCUCCCUCUCCUGCCGGGUCCGGUCCUCUGCUGAGUGAAGACCAUAAUCCAGCUCGCUCACGUGGCUGCGAUGGAGGAAAGGACGAUUGUGAAAGAGUUUCAAUCCAGUCAUUAGCUGCUGAGGAAUGUGGAAAUCUUCCAUUAAACUCCAGGAUCUCGUGGAGGCGGCUCUGAAUACUGACCUUCUCCUGAAGUUUUCCUUCCAGCUCCCUGGGGGCCUGCUGGGUCACUGGAGCUUUCUGCUCUCGCCUCCACUGCGUCUCCUCGUAGUCCUCCUCCCUGCGCUGCCUCUGAGCCUGUAGCACCUCCUGCUUCGGCUCCUGAUUCUCCUGCAUCCUCUGUCCCGGUGCUGGCGUACUCCAUGAGAACGGUUCCCAAUGUGGUCCCUGAAUUACCUCUGAAUAAUUAGGACUUGGCUUCUGGAGAAAGAUGUUGCUGUUCAAUGUUUUUAAAUUAGGUUGUCCUGCCGGGACGGAGGGAAGCAGAGGGUGAGGGAGAGUUUCUCCUUUACGGACGACCUGAGGAUAAACCUAUAUCUGAUGGUGUGAGAGACAUCAGAAACAAAAGCACUGCUCCACUUUUCAUUCUUCACCUUUUCUAAGUCCAAGUGCUGAGCGAGCCUGGACGCCUCUUUCUCCUUGUUGCUGAGUUCGGCCAAAAGUCGCUGUAACGGGAAAAACAAAAAAAUGGAGGACGUCCUGAGAUGACCUGGUGGCACGUGAACACAUGAACCAAGAGACGACGGACGUCUUCUUCCUCUCGGAGCAGGACACUGAGGGUUCUGGGAACUGGCGUUGUGUUCUCCUCCUGCUCCUCUCCACCACGCCGAUGUCCGAACUGAAGCUGCGCUCGGCUUCUCUGAAGGAGAGACACAAACAAACACAACUCAUGCUCAGUGAUCACACAUUAAAAUAAGGAUGAAGGGUUUGUCUAUGGUGCCAAAGAGACCUGGCCGGAGUCUAAGCCCACGUCUUUUCGGGAGGACGGUCCUCCUGGAGGAAUCCACGGUGAUCGAACCUUAUGCCUCGCUCCAUCUCCCUUCUUCUGAUAAUAUUUUGUCCUGUUCUGCAGAAGAUGGAGACAAAUUCCUCAUUAGACGUGUUACAGCGUCAGCACCCUUUUCUUACGAUACUAGAAAUUCUAUUUGUAAACACAGGUAGACAUAAAAUGAUGUGUGUUUGCGUCCCUUUGUGGAUGUUUUGUGUGUGUUUCAUGAUUUUGAACAACUCGACAUAUAACAGUAUAUACUUAAUAGACUGAUUGAAAUAUGCUUUCUUUAAUUUUAUAGUGUUAGUAUGGCUGCUCACAAUCACUUCAGACUUACGCUUGACUUGUUCAUAAAGGUGCUGUAUGAAGAAGAUGAGGAGGAAGAUGAGGAGGCAUUUCCCGGUCUUGGUUCUGAGUGAGUGAUCUCUGACGCUGAGGACAUAGACUAUUUUAAACUGGGAGUUGUGGGUGUGUCCUUGAAAUCCAGCUCUCCUACAUGAAGAAGGAACCUUUGAUGAAAUAUGAGUUGCAUCUUCUAUGCCAUCAAAGGAGUCAUGAUUUCGUUGAGUUAGUUUUACAUUUUCAAGGAAUCAAGAUGACAAUCACCCAAUUGGAGUUGAUCUGAUGAAAGCUCAACGAGGAGUUUGUCAGAAUAAACGACGUGUAAAACGGCCACAAAAUCUAAAAUGGCCGACUUAAUGCUGUGUUAAUCAAAUUUAGUUUUUUCCGUGUUUGCCGGAUUUUCAAGUAUGUUCAAGCUGUCAAAUUUAUUUUCCUAGAACCAACAGAAAAACCAUAGAGCCUUUGAACUGUCGGUGCUCGGUGCAACUAAUACUAAUCACAAUAUGUCAAACUAAUGAAGUAGCUCCUACAGUGGGAGUUUUGUGACUCUGCGAACAUUUUGUGAAUUAAAUUUGACCUUGUGUGUAUC